rnacentral:rRNA from 1 species
CCUACGGGAGACAGCAGUGAGGAAUAUUGGUCAAUGGACGAGAGCCUGAACCAGCCAAGUAGCGUGAAGGAUGACUGCCCUAUGGGUUGUAAACUUCUUUUAUAUGGGAAUAAAAUGUUCCACGUGUAGGAUUUUGUAUGUACCUUAUGAAUAAGGAUCGGCUAACUCCGUGCCAGCAGCCGCGGUAAUACGGAGGAUCCGAGCGUUAUCCGGAUUUAUUGGGUUUAAAGGGAGCGUAGGUGGGUUGUUAAGUCAGUUGUGAAAGUUUGCGGCUCAACCGUAAAAUUGCAGUUGAAACUGGGAGUCUUGAGUACAGGAGAGGGGGGGGGAAAUCGGGGU